UCACCUGGAGCUGAUUCCAUUCCCAGAGCCCACGAUGGGGCUCAGGAGUGAGCUCAGGAAGGACAGAAACCUCCCACAGAGCAGAAGGGUAAAAGCUCCCUUGAUCUUGAUUUUCAGUACGAGCACAGACCGUGAAAGCGGGGCCUCACAGUCCUGCUGGCUUUUAAGCAGGAG
rnacentral:ncRNA from 1 species